GACAGAGGAUGCAAGCGUUAUCCGGAAUGAUUGGGCGUAAAGCGUCUGUAGGUGGCUUUUUAAGUCCGCCGUCAAAUCCCAGGGCUCAACCCUGGACAGGCGGUGGAAACUACCAAGCUGGAGUACGGUAGGGGCAGAGGGAAUUUCCAGUGGAGCGGUGAAAUGCGUAGAGAUUGGAAAGAACACCAAUGGCGAAAGCACUUUGCUGGGCCGACACUGACACUGAGAGACGAAAGCUAGGGGAGCGAAUGGGAUUAGGAAACCCCAG
rnacentral:rRNA from 1 species